CGCGUAGGCGGUUUCUCAAGUCCGGGUGAAAUCUUUCGGCUUAACCGGAAAAGUGCCUUGGAUACUGAGAAGCUGGAGGGAGGCAGGGGCAGCUGGAACUUCCAGUGGAGCGGUGAAAUGCGUUGAUAUUGGAAGGAACUCCGGUGGCGAAAGCGAGCUGCUGGUCCUUUUCUGACGCUGAUGCGCGAAAGCUAGGGGAGCAAACGGGAUUAGAUACCCCGGUAGUCCUAGCCCUAAACGAUGGGUACUAGGUUGUAGACUUAACAUGGGUUUACAGCCGAAGCAAAAGUGUUAAGUACCCCGCCUGGGGAGUAUGGUCGCAAGGCUGAA
rnacentral:rRNA from 1 species